UCGAAAAGGAGAGCGCAUGCUUAUAUCAAGGUGGGUAACCAGUUUUAUACUCAUAAAUUUCGUGGUAUUUUUAUCACUUGGUGAAAGAAAGCAGAUACACUUCGCAAACAAUUGGAGUUAUGGAACAUUUGGCACGAACACGACCUCGUGAUCAUUCUCGCGGCCGGGGGAGGAGGCGGCGGAGACGAAGAGACGAAGGGCGUGCUGGCCUCGGCUUCACCGGUGGCCGGGUACGGCAAGGGCAGGGCCGCUUCGUUGACCGACGCGGCGGCUGCGAAGGAGGCGCAGCUAGCCAGGUCCGACAGCUUCGAUGGCUACGACCAAUGCAGUUUCAUCGUAAAGAUCCAAUAUGAGGGACAGUUUCUGUGGAGGCUUGUUGUACACGAUGACCAUGUUCUUGUUUGCUGUGCUCUUUGGAUGCCUAGCAUUGCCUUCACAAUCUGGUCAUCCUCUGUCACCAUAGGCUAAAACUACUACCGCUACUGCUGUCAACUCGACAUCAUUAGAUGAGAGCAAGCUCCACAUGAUAUUUUUCAUCUCAGGAAGAUGCAAUUACUGGGGUGGAUGGAAGCAAUGCCACUGCUGCGGGGACGGCAAUCAGAAACAGAAUUGCUACAGUACCAUGGAUGAGUGCAGGGUCAGGUGCCCCAAGUGCAACCCCACAUGCCUGCCGCAGCCGUUCAUUCAUUCAGCGAGGGAAGGUCGACCAGUGCAUGCACCAAGGAACAAUACCUUUCACAAGUGAGAGGUCUGUGAUCUUAAAAUCAUCAGUAUUGAGCCCAAUCGUGUACCGAGGCACAUGAUAUGUACAUAUGACCAUGCAAGCUAUAAGAUCUUUUCUGUACUUACUAUUACAGACCAGGACACCAUGGCUUUAAUAAUUCAUUCUAUGUUGUUUAGUUCUUAGAUGUCAAAGGUUAACGAGCAGCCAGGCGGCUGCAGGUGUAAAACAUGAGGAACAAACGCUCAUAUGUGAAUAUGCCAUAAUCAGUAUUAUUCUACUUUGGCUUCA